rnacentral:rRNA from 1 species
UACGUAGGGGGCAAGCGUUGUCCGGAUUUAUUGGGCGUAAAGAGCGUGUAGGCGGCUAGGUAGGUCCGUUGUGAAAACUCGAGGCUCAACCUCGAGACGUCGAUGGAAACCAUCUAGCUAGAGUCCGGAAGAGGAGAGUGGAAUUCCUGGUGUAGCGGUGAAAUGCGCAGAUAUCAGGAAGAACACCCGUGGCGAAGGCGGCUCUCUGGAACGCAACUGACGCUGAGACGCGAAAGCGUGGGGAGCAAACAGG